UUCAACAUUUCGUUGGAUACUCUUUAGCUAAAAUUACACUUUUUAUACCUUUUGGCAAGGAAUCAAUUAAUAUUUUUUUCACGUAAGAAUGUUCAAUGCUUUUCAUUUCUUUGUCAGAAAUGCUUUUAGUAGAGUUUCGAAGAACUGUCUUGUUUUCUUACUCUUCUUUUCUUCUACUCACUCCAUACAUGUUCUAUAGUCCGGAGAAUAUGGUGAAGUUUCUAACUUCAAUACAGCUGGAAAAAGGAAGAGGUCCGAAAUCGAAUCUGGGCGGGUGAAACCAAGGAGGUUAGAACCUCCUUGGGUGAAACUAACUUGUGCAGAUAGUUUAAAGGAAAGAAAAAAGUAUAAAAGGUGGUGAAUACAAAAAUGUGAGCGAGGUGUUUUAUUUGUGGUUCAGUAGAGCUAAGGAAACAGGGAACAUCCUUUUCAAGACCAAUUUUACAAGAAAAGGCCCUAAAAUAUUGUGAUGAAUUUCAAGGAGGAGAGCCUGAAUUAACUGCAAGUGCUGACUGUCUCGAUAGACGAAAACAGCUGUCGGCUCAGACGACAUCAGGCAGUUAAAUGUUAAUAGGAAAAGCUGUCUGCUAACUUAGAAAAUGCUGCAAUAUUCAAAGAUAAUUUCCACAAACUAAUUGAAAAGGAGGGUAUAUCUGGGGAUCAAAUUUAUAACUGUGAUGAGACGGGUCUAAAUUUUCGAAUGCUGGUAUCUUGGGAAGAAAAUUCGGCACCUGGCUGCAAAGAAACAAGCUCAAACUAGCGCUUAUAGGCAAAUCAAAAAAUCCUAGUUUUUCAAAAUCUUAAAAAAAAACACUAAUGGGGCCGAAAUCAACUAUCAUCUUCUUGUUUUGUACCGUAAUCUGUCAAACGCAGGGAUGAAUGGAGCAAAAUUUAAUGAUUGGUUUCGUCAGCAGUUUGUUCCAUCGGUGGAAAAGUUUUUUAAAUAAAAAAUUCUACCAAGCAAAGCAAUUCUCAUUCUAGACAAUGCCUCAUCUCAUCCUAAUGCAAAGCAGUUACGAGACGAAGAUAUAGGAAUCAUGUGUCUCCCUCCUAACGCAACUUCGGUGUGUCCGCCGAUGGACCAGGGGGUUUUCGUUUACCAAGAUUUCGAUGUAAACAACAAACAAUGUUUCAACCGGAACUGUGAAUUCUACUUCCGGCACAGCAACUGCAUUUGAACAAAACCAGAAAACCUUUUCUCCUGAAAGUGAAUUCGCCUAGGAGUUCUACAAGCUGUAAAAUGUUCUGUAAAUAAAGCUUAUUAGGAAUGCUUA